rnacentral:rRNA from 1 species
AUUGAACGCUGGCGGCAGGCCUAACACAUGCAAGUCGAGCGGAUGAAGGGAGCUUGCUCCUGGAUUCAGCGGCGGACGGGUGAGUAAUGCCUAGGAAUCUGCCUGGUAGUGGGGGAUAACGUCCGGAAACGGGCGCUAAUACCGCAUACGUCCUGAGGGAGAAAGUGGGGGAUCUUCGGACCUCACGCUAUCAGAUGAGCCUAGGUCGGAUUAGCUAGUUGGUGGGGUAAAGGCCUACCAAGGCGACGAUCCGUAACUGGUCUGAGAGGAUGAUCAGUCACACUGGAACUGAGACACGGUCCAGACUCCUACGGGAGGCAGCAGUGGGGAAUAUUCGACAAUGGGCGAAAGCCUGAUCCAGCCAUGCCGCGUGUGUGAAGAAGGUCUUCGGAUUGUAAAGCACUUUUAGUUGGGAGGAAGGGCAGUAAGUUAAUACCUUGCUGUUUUGACGUUACCAACAGAAUAAGCACCGGCUAACUUCGUG